GACGCUUUAAGAGAAAUGUUAUUUUAAAGUUUGUUGUGCUAAGUGAACAGUUCGAUAUUAGAAAGUGCAAGAUAUUACAUAUGUACAUAGUUAUAUAAUUAAAUUCAAAUGGCUACUACCUCAUCUAAUGUUCGUGUUAGAUCUAAAACCCUAAUUUAUUUAAUUGGGUAUUCAUCUCAUCAAAUAAUCGGGAGUAAACUGCCAUCUAAUCAUCAAGUGUUAAAGUCAUUGUUUUACAACAUUCGUGAAGUUGGAUUACCUUUUAGUAAUGCUGCAAAACUCACUCUGACGGAAGUUCUUGUGUUCUGGGAGAAAGCUAGAAUACCUUAUCAAUUACGAAAAACUGCUGUUCGCAAAGUCGAAAAAUUAUAUAACGAAUGGAGGGCACUUCAGAAGUGUUCAAGAUUGAAGACAAAACGUCAAGAGGAAAAAAAUCUUGCAUUCACAUCCAAACUGUCCGAUCUUUUUGAUGUAGCAGUGGAAGAUGCCAUUUCAAAAAUGUCUAAUCAGGAAGAUAUAAAUUUUUGACAUAUCAGAUAAUGAAAGGACGUCCAGGCCAUAUGGAAGGUAUCGAUGUGAAUACAGCUCUAGCUGAAGAGCGGCGAUGGCGACAGAUUUCACCAGUAAGCGCUGUAUGUCGCUCAAGCUAAAUAAUAGACACAUCGAAGAAUACUAGUUUGAAGAUAUUCCUUCAGAUAGCGAGAGUAUUUGUAGCGACGAGGAUACAGAAGAUCAGCCAAAUCCGCUGGUGUUAGGCGAUUCGAAUGGAGAAGUUCAAAUGACUGAUUAUGACAACUUUGAUUCCGAUGAUGACAUCCCUCUGUCUAACUUAGUACUUCGGAAUCCUGAAUCUACAGAGUCUAACACUGUAAACUCAAUCAGACCGGCUACAAUGGCUCCAAAAUGAAAGAAGAAUUAUAGAAUGGACAUACCUGCUGAAAUUACUGAAAGUGUGGAAAGCUUUAUUCACCCACCACUACAGAAGAGCUUGAUGCUUUUAUUGCUUUGAACUUGGUAAUGGGUAUGAAGAAAUUGCCGACCUACAGAGAUUACUGGUCAUCAGCACCUGAUUUGCAUGACGGGUAUGUAUCGAGGUUCAUGAGCUUUAAUAGAUUCAGUUGGCUUUUGAAUUACUUACAGUGGAUUGCCAAAUUAUUAGGGACAGUCGCAUUUUUCCCCAAUUUGUUCCUUUGGGCGCAGUUGAGUGCGGUUUUAAGAGCAACAACUUUACAGGAAAGUACUUUUUGCGUUCACCACAUCUUGAUAACUUCAGUUUUAAGUAGAUUUUGAGAGUUAAUGUAUUUGUUUACUUUCUACAAAUAUUUUAUUAAAGGUAGACUCGCAGGGUGCUGAACACGUAUUUUAGUGAAAGUUGAAAUUAAUUAUUUAAAAAAAGUUUUUAUCAUUUUUGUGCAACAAACGCAGAUCAAAUUAUGGGUCGAGGGUGUUAUUUGUCCCCAAGGAAAAAAUCAGAGAUUAAAACUCUUCUCCAGCACAUAAGCCAUUCGCAAAGGAACAUAGCAGAACUAGCUGGAGUUUCUAAGACAGAAGUGAAUAAAAUAAAGAUUAGUUUGGAUCAAAAUCAAUCACUUUCGCCAAAAAAAAGGGCAAGAGUGGAAGAAAACGCAUAACAACAUCACGAUCUGACCGGAAAAUUCGGGACAUCUGCUUGCAAAACAGGAAGAAAAGUGCUGGGCUCUUAACUCAAUUAGUUCAAGAGUCUGGAGUAGUAGUAUCCAAAAGAACCGUGCAGCGAAGGUUAGCAGAAGAAGGGUUGACUUGUCAUCGUCCUGCUAAGGAAACCUCGGUUAACAGAUGCGAUGAAGAAAAAACGUCUUGCCUGGUCCCAAAAAUACCGCCAGAAGACUGAUGAGGACUGGAGUAAGGUAUGUUUUUCAGAGGAGUCAACCUUUGAAAUUCUGGCCGACAAGAGCAGCUUCGUCCAGGCGAAAAAUGUCACCCUGACUGCAUUGUGGAGAGGGUUAAACACCCUGUUAAAAUAAUGGUGUGGUCUGUCAUAAGUGCUAAAGGGGUUGGACGUCUCUACAUU
rnacentral:misc_RNA from 1 species